rnacentral:rRNA from 1 species
UACAGAGGGUGCGAGUGUUGUUCGGAAUUAUUGGGCGUAAAGGGCGCGUAGGUGGUCUGGUUAGUCAGAUGUGAAAGCCCUGGGCUUAACCCAGGAAAUGCAUUUGAUACUGCCAGACUAGAGUUCGGUAGAGGAUAGUGGAAUUCCCGGUGUAGAGGUGAAAUUCGUAGAGAUCGGGAGGAACACCAGUGGCGAGAGCGGCUAUCUGGGCCGACACUGACACUGAGGCGCGAAAGCGUGGGGAGCAAACAGG